CUUCAUACAAUUUAAAUCCACCGCGCUCUCGCCAACUUGAACGUCUGCUCCGUGUAUCGAAGUUACUGACAGGUUACAUAAAUCCGAAAACAUGGUGAAAAUUUUAAGGGAUCUGCUCUUUAGACCAGAUCUCAGAAAGGUUCAAAAUGAAUCUUUAGCUAAUCAAAUAAAGUAUUUUUGGCGUAAAGGAUGGGAGGAAAUGCCAGAACUUAUGGUACUUAUAUCUCCUACUAUAGUGACUCUAUUCGUAACAGUGCACGUUAUUCGUAAACAAUUAGAAGAGAAGGAUAAACUGCCACGAUAUUAUAAUGAAUAUACCGUUUUCAGACCUAACAAUCCUAAGGUUCCAAGAAUUAGAACAGAUGAUUAUUUGUCAAUUGAAGAGCCGCAACACACUAUGUCUUAAGAAAAACAAUUUAACCCUAGAAUUAAAUAGUAUAUCAAAGUGAAUCAGUGUUAUUCAUGUAUAGUCCAUAAGAUUCUUUAAUCAUUCUUCGAAGAAAUAAAACAAAUUAUUAAUAAAGGAGAUUAAUCCUAGUUUAAUAUGAUUUCUAAAACUUGCAAAAUUCUACAUAUAUAAUUAUAAUAUAAUGAAAACACUUUAUGUAUAAUAACAUUAUAGUUCAUCUUUUAUAUGGCAUCUUCUUACUAUAUGGACAAAUUCAAUGAACCAAUCUUGCAUAAGUAAUUAAAAGAGACAACGUAUGUUAGUGCAAAUUAACAAGUUCAGAGGUUUAUAUUUAGCCUCUUUAUCUAUAAAAGAAGAGGCAUUAGCUUGAAUGUAACAGGAAACCAUUUCAGAUGGUUGUACCUAUAUUCGAGAAGGUCAA